GGAAACCCUUUCCUUUUUCUAGUAGAUGUAAUCUUUCCAUUAUUAUGUAUUAGUAGUUUUCCUAAUCCUAGUGAGUUUAGGUUUUGGAUACUUUUCAUUUAUCUUCAUCUUGUAAUCCUUAUAUAAAGGAACCCUCUUGAUCAUUAAUAAUAACACAGAAAUAUUCAGUCUCAAAACUCUCUAAUUACAACAUGUUAUCAGCACGAUAGACUCCAAAAUCCUGAGACAAAACCUAACCUAAAAUCCAUCACAAAUAAACUCUAAAUCGAUCUAUCUCUCAAACCCCCGAGGAACCAGAUGACGAGCCACAUAUGAAAUUGAAGCGCUUGACGAGACGAAUCCAUCAGCGCAAACCGUUCGACGAUCCGAUCUCAGACGCGCCCACACUCGCAGAAACAAUAUGCAGCGCCGUCUUGGUCUUGUUAAAACCCUAAUCCCGAAGAACCCUAAAUUGUUCUUGCUUGCGUUCCAGAAAGCUUUGCCGUCUCAGCCUGAUACAAUCUUAGCUCAGACAAUCUCUUACGUCCUCAGCUUGCAUCCCGAACGUCCUCAGCUUCACAUUCGGCAUCACAGCCAGCUCGCGUUCCAAAACAGACGCCCGCGAACCUGAUAGAAAGAAGAUGCGUCCCGCUCCAACUCAGAUCGCGUAGAACCCUAAACUCAAUCGCGUCUUACGUCCGUCUCAGCCUCCGCUCUCGAUCCCGAGCAGACGUUCAGUUGUAUGUGCGGGCAAAAAACCUAUAUAAUAUUAUUUACGGAGUGAUUUUUCGUAUACGAGCUAUCACGUUAAAAGUUGGAGCGGUUAAAGUCAAUGAUACCCUUAAUAAAAUUUUAUAUAAUUUAUUGUAUAAGUAAAAACAAAUUUUAUAUUAAUUAUAUUAGAUUUAUAUGUUCUAUUAGCUCAUCGAUUGUAAAUUAAUAUAAUAAAAUUAUUAAAAAUAAAAACAUAUUUAUAAAAUACUAUAUAAAAUAUUAUUUUCAUAUAACAACAGAAUAUCUAUGAGAAUUGUCUGUUUUUUUAAAUAUUUUUUUUUUGUCAAAAGACAUAUAAAUCUAAGAUAAGCAUUUAAGAAUUUUAGUCAAAAAGACAAAAAAAACAUAUUUAAAAAAAAAAAAGAUAAUUCUCAUAGAUAUUCUAUUGUUAUAUGAAAAUAAUAUUUUAUAUAGUCCCCGUGUGUAAUCUUCGACAAGAGAUGGAUUGUUCAAACUAAGACGUUAAAAGAAAAACACUAAAUGAAAACUACAUUUUCCUCACUAAAAUGCUUAAAUAAACUUCACAUUCUCGACAUAGUUGAGAUACGUGUAGGAUCUUUUACCCUGAAACGCUUCCAGUCCUUGGAUUCCAACUUUUCUGAUCCUCUUGCUCUCGAUAUUGAAGUAGAUGAUAUAGGAAGGCACGUAUUGAAAGCUGGGGGACAAGACGAUUUCACUGGUACCAACCAUUCCAAUAAUGCGCAUGGUCUCUGUAACCACAUCCUUCCACGAAGGUGGUAAUACAUAUACAUGUUUGGACCACUCAUGUUUUGCAGCAUCUCGUAGAACCCACAGCUCAAGACUUUUAUUUGCUUGACUAACAUGACGAGAACUCCUCGACAUAAUCAAACCUAGUUUGCCAUCGUAGUUUACCAAGGUUGUCGAAUGAUGCAUUGUUCUACUGAAAGUUUCCAUGAACUUGACAAAGCUGAACUUCUCAGACCUCAAAUCAAAACAAGCUACCAUAGAAUUCAAGGAAGAACUGUUGACUGAAGCUGCGUAGUAUAGAACACCACUGAUGCAUAACCACUUACGAGAAGUAUAAUGUGGUAUGCAACAUUCGACCAACCUCCAUGACGAAUUCUUGGUUCCUAAUGUCAGAACUUGGUGCUCCUUAGAGAUCCAACGAUCAGUUACACGCGAGCUGUUCAUUGACAAUAGCUUAAAUUCUUUCGCAAUAGAGUCAUAUCCAAGAUAGCUGUCCAUUCCAACCCUCAACCUCGAGUUUAAUCUUGGCAAGGUCAAGGCCUGUCCCGUGCUGGGGUUACAUAUCACCUUUUCAAACUCACAAUUCCGGAUCAGGUUAACUCCAUAACACAAGAAGCCAGUGGUGUAACUAAAUUCUCUUCCGGGGAAACGUGCAAGAUGAUUGGCGGCUACAACAUACGAGUUCUCUUCUGGAUUUUCAGGCUGAGGCGACGAGAAAAAGACAAUCUCUCUGUCCUCUUUGAAGACGAAUAGAAGCUGAGGGUGAGCAAAAGAUUUGGUCAAAAACAACUCUGUGAAAUCUUGACUGCGAAGCAUAGACGCCCAGAACUUGGAUAUGCAACAACAUCUCGCAAUCGCCUUUGACGGCAACCUCGAGAAUAUCUCGAAAACGAGGUCAUCAGGAAUUGGCAAUGAACUUCUCUCAAGGUGCGGAGAAAAUGUUAGAACCGAGACGUUCAUGGCAGAAACGGAUUCCGAAGAGUUGGUGUUUUUUUUCUUAGGACCAAAGAGUUUGUUUUGUUUUGGAAAUAAAAUCUCUGUAUUUAUUCUAAAGAAGGAAAGCCAAGAAUUACACAUUCUGCAUGAUACAAAUGAGGCCAUUGCCCAUGACCCCCUUUAUAUACAUGGCUUCUUCUGAAUAGAAAGUGAAGAUCAAAUUGGAUCUUAUGACUGAAAAAUAUUUCUUACUCCCAACACUUUUUUUUAAAGCUUAUCUCUUAUUUGCUUUGUCAGGUAAUAUAUCUCUUAUAUAUUAAAGAAGAAGCAUUGUAAUAAAUGCGUUCACACUAAACUGGACACAUGUAACGUAUAGAAGCAUUGUAAUAAAUGCGUUCACACUAAAAUAGAUACAUGUUACAUGUAGAGAGCUUCUCAGCAAAACUCUACAUAAAUAUGUUCACACUAUGUACUUUACCUAAUAUAAAACUCACAUGCAUGGUUUUUCUUUACGUUAUUUUUACUGUUUACGAAUAGAGCUGAACAAAUUAUUCAUAAAUUUUGAUUCGAUUCGUUAUCCAUUUUGAUUCGAACCAAAAAAUCUGGAUAUCCGUUAUUUUACGAAGCAAAUCAAAUACUAAAAUGCAAUAUCCGUAAAAAAAAAGAAAUCACAAAUAUCAAUAUUUAUAGGAACAUAUAUCCAAUUUGAUUUGUUAUAUGCAUAUAUAUAUACACAUAUUUAAAGAAUUAUAUAUAAGUUAUAUAUUAUAGUUUAUAUAAAUUUUACAAUAUUUUUGUUUUAAAUAAUUUCAUUUAAAGAAUUUUAUUUUUCAUGUAUUAUUUUUUUAAAAAUGUGAUUUAAUAUUUAAUUAACAGUAUCUUUAUAUAUUUAUCAACCAUCUUUAUAUACUCUUACAUACACAUACAUGUGCACAUUGACGUGAGCACCUUAUAACUAAGUAUUUACCACCACUGAAAUAUCUAAUUUUUUUGGAAGUUAAAAUAUUCUUUUUCUUUAUACUUCUUUCACUAUCGACCAAAUUGUAGUAAAAUGAUUUGUCUUAAUAAUUUUCUUUUCUUUUUUUAACUAUUAUUCGUUUAGAAACUAUAAUAUGAAACCAUUGGUUCGACAUCACGACUAUCUAAGAUUCAUAACAUGAAAACAAACAAAUAAUAGUAAUUUUUGAUCAUCACAGAGAAAAAAAAAACAUCAAACAUUUUAACCGAACAAACCAAAUAAAUAUUGAUUUAAAAUGAUAGUUAUAUUUUAGGAGAUUAAAAACUAAAAAACAACCUAAAACCGAACAGAUAUCUAGAUUAAAUAGAUCAAUGUCUCUUUAUUAAAAAAUAACGAAACUAAUAAUCACAUUUCGCGCAAGGCGCGGGUUAUUACCUAGUAUUACAUAUAACAUAUACAUAUCUUUCCAUAACAUUUUAGAUUGCCCUAGAUAUUUUACAUAAGACUUAAGACUUAAGAAAGUAGUAAAUAUUGGUAGGUUUGGUUCUCAUUUGGCUAGCCCAUUUGCUUGGCUGUUCAAUGAAUAAAAUUAGGCUGAAAAUGAACUGUGACAACACAACAUGCAUCUGAAAGCUUUAAUCUUUAAAAAGAAUUAAUGCGUUUUGCCAAAAAUGUCUUUGAUAAGAGACAUGUCAGAUGAUAGAUAAUCGAAGUGUUUUUUCAAAAAAAAAAGAUAGAUGAUCGAAGUGUAUUUUUGCUGAGAUUUGGCAUCUGACAAUAUAGAUUCAUGUUCAUCUCGUAAGUUUGGAAUAGAGGGUUAUAUAACUAAAAUGUAGUGGUCUCGUCUACUCACCGUACUAAAAGAACACCUUGUAUAGGAGUAACAUUUUUAAAAAUAUGUAUGUGCCAAUAUUAGAUUAUAAAUAUUCACUUAUGUUAUAAUCAAAUAACGUAAUAGUUGUUAUAAAUUAUGGGGUGGAUUGCCAUUAACCAGACCCGGUUCAAGACCAGCCCAAUACCUAGAAGAUGGAGAGACGGCCGAAGCCCUAGAGAGAGGAGAGAGAGAGCCGACUUUAGGAAAGAGACGGCCACAAAGCUUGGAGAAAAGGAAACCCUUUCCUUUUUCUAGUAGAUGUAAUCUUUCCAUUAUUAUGUAUUAGUAGUUUUCCUAAUCCUAGUGAGUUUAGGUUUUGGAUACUUUUCAUUUAUCUUCAUCUUGUAAUCCUUAUAUAAAGGAACCCUCUUGAUCAUUAAUAAUAACACAGAAAUAUUCAGUCUCAAAACUCUCUAAUUACAACAUGUUAUCAGCACGAUAGACUCCAAAAUCCUGAGACAAAACCUAACCUAAAAUCCAUCACAAAUAAACUCUAAAUCGAUCUAUCUCUCAAACCCCCGAGGAACCAGAUGACGAGCCACAUAUGAAAUUGAAGCGCUUGACGAGACGAAUCCAUCAGCGCAAACCGUUCGACGAUCCGAUCUCAGACGCGCCCACACUCGCAGAAACAAUAUGCAGCGCCGUCUUGGUCUUGUUAAAACCCU
rnacentral:lncRNA from 1 species